rnacentral:rRNA from 2 species
AGUACGUGAAACUGCUUAGAGGUUAAACCCGAAGAACCUGAAUAUCCGUUAUGGAAAAUUCAUCAUUAGUAAUAUAAUAUAUUAAAUAUAUAUUGUGUGAACAGUGUGCAAUUUUUCCAUAUAAGGACAUUGUAAUCUGUUAAUGUAAUAAAUAUUUAUCAAAAGAUCCUUNACUUUAAGUUUAUUNUAAUUAAUAAUUNNAAUGGAUUUUUAACAAUAAAUAAAUGUAUUGGAUUUGAUAAAUCAUUGACAGAUAUAAUUAUAUAAUGUGCUUAAAUUCUUCGGAAUUUCAUCAAUGGUAGGCAGAUCUAUUGAUAUUAGUUUAUUUAAUUGUAUGCACUAUUAUGAUUAACAAUGCGAUAGAUUCAGGAUACCUUCGGGACCCGUCUUGAAACACGGACCAAGGAGUCUAACAUAUGUGCAAGUCAUUGGGUAUUUUUAAUAAAACCCAAUGGCGUAAUUAACUGAACUGUAUAAAGGGAUUAGUAUAUUGGUAAUUAAAUGGAUUUACUCAAUCCCGGGGCGUUCUAUAUAGUUAUGUAUGAUGGUAUUUAUAUUAUUUAUACCUCUAACUAGAGCGUACCUUGAGCAUAUAUGCUGU